GACGAACGCUGGCGGCGUGCUUAACACAUGCAAGUCGAACGGAAAGGCCCUGCUUGCCGGGUACUCGAGUGGCGAACGGGUGAGUAACACGUGGGUGAUCUGCCCUUCACUUCGGGAUAAGCCUGGGAAACUGGGUCUAAUACCGGAUAGGAGCCAUUUUUAGUGUGAUGGUUGGAAAGUUUUUUCGGUGUAGGAUGAGCUCGCGGCCUAUCAGCUUGUUGGUGGGGUAAUGGCCUACCAAGGCGGCGACGGGUAGCCGGCCUGAGAGGGUGGACGGCCACAUUGGGACUGAGAUACGGCCCAGACUCCUACGGGAGGCAGCAGUGGGGAAUAGUGCACAAUGGGCGCAAGCCUGAUGCAGCGACGCCGCGUGGGGGAUGACGGCCUUCGGGUUGUAAACUCCUUUCGCUAGGGACGAAGCUUUUUGUGACGGUACCUAGAUAAGAAGCACCGGCUAACUACGUG
rnacentral:rRNA from 1 species